CUAUAAUGCAGUCGAGCGAACAGAUAAGGAGCUUGCUCCUUUGACGUUAGCGGCGGACGGGUGAGUAACACGUGGGUAACCUACCUAUAAGACUGGGAUAACUUCGGGAAACCGGAGCUAAUACCGGAUAACAUUUGGAACCGCAUGGUUCUAAAGUGAAAGAUGGUUUUGCUAUCACUUAUAGAUGGACCCGCGCCGUAUUAGCUAGUUGGUAAGGUAACGGCUUACCAAGGCAACGAUACGUAGCCGACCUGAGAGGGUGAUCGGCCACACUGGAACUGAGACACGGUCCAGACUCCUACGGGAGGCAGCAGUAGGGAAUCUUCCGCAAUGGGCGAAAGCCUGACGGAGCAACGCCGCGUGAGUGAUGAAGGGUUUCGGCUCGUAAAACUCUGUUAUUAGGGAAGAACAAAUGUGUAAGUAACUGUGCACAUCUUGACGGUACCUAAUCAGAAAGCCACGGCUAACUACGUGCCAGCAGCCGCGGUAAUACGUAGGUGGCAAGCGUUAUCCGGAAUUAUUGGGCGUAAAGCGCGCGUAGGCGGUUUCUUAAGUCUGAUGUGAAAGCCCACGGCUCAACCGUGGAGGGUCAUUGGAAACUGGGAAACUUGAGUGCAGAAGAGGAAAGUGGAAUUCCAUGUGUAGCGGUGAAAUGCGCAGAGAUAUGGAGGAACACCAGUGGCGAAGGCGACUUUCUGGUCUGUAACUGACGCUGAUGUGCGAAAGCGUGGGGAUCAAACAGGAUUAGAUACCCUGGUAGUCCACGCCGUAAACGAUGAGUGCUAAGUGUUAGGGGUUUCCGCCCCUUAGUGCUGCAGCUAACGCAUUAAGCACUCCGCCUGGGGAGUACGACCGCAAGGUUGAAACUCAAAGGAAUUGACGGGGACCCGCACAAGCGGUGGAGCAUGUGGUUUAUUCGAGCAACGCGAGACCUUACCAAA
rnacentral:rRNA from 1 species